AAGUCGUAACAAGGUUUCCGAGGAUUAACAGUCCCGGUUCAGUAAUGAAUCCUUCCGCAUGUACACUUGCCGAAGCCUUAGCGGGUCCAAAAGGACCGGUCCGCGACUUAAUAAACAAAGUGAUCUGCCGCCCAUAACCCGGGGUGGUACGCUAGUCUGCCGUCCCCUAACAAGGGACGACGGGCGACACUAUCGAAUUGCGGGGAUGCCCUAAAGGACGGUGGUACGAACCCAAUGUGCGAAACGCCAUUUGGGGGCCCGGGUUAGCAGCCCGGGGGUAGCGUAACAAUCCCACCGUCAUGAUUUCUCCCCCCAAAAGGGGAGAUGAAAUGGGUAAUCCGCAGCCAAAGACCUGCACCCCCGCAGCUGCGGGUGACGGUUGAGGUCCACAGACUAAGUGGUAGUGGGUGUGGCCUUGCGAGGCCAUGCUUAAGAUAUAGUCGGGGCCCCUCGAGAAAUCCAGGGGGGACAAGUACAGCGAAACCAAACUUUCCUGACAGAAACCGUACCGUAGGUGAACCCUUCGGUAGGAUCAUUACCGAGUUAGGGUCUUCCGGGCCCAAUCUCCCACCCUUGUCGUCGAACAAAUCUUGUUGCUUUGGCGGGACCGCUCGGUCUCUCACGAGGCCGGCUGCCGGGUCCCCGCACCCGGGGUAAGCGGCCGCCAGAGUCCAACUAAACUCUUCGUUUAACCAUUCGUCUGAGUAAUGAUUUAAUCAAUCAAA
rnacentral:ncRNA from 1 species